rnacentral:sRNA from 1 species
GUCGUGAGAUGUUGGGUUAAGUCCCGCAACGAGCGCAACCCCUGUCCCAUGUUGCCAGCGAGUUAUGUCGGGGACUCAUGGGAGACUGCCGGUGACAAAUCGGAGGAAGGUGGGGAUGACGUCAAGUCAGCAUGACCCUUAUGUCUAGGGCUACACACGUGCUACAUUGGCCGGUACAAAGGGCUGCAAACCCGCGAGGGGGAGCGAAUCCCAUAAACCCGGUCCCGGUUCGGAUUGGAGGCUGAAACUCGCCUCCAUGAAGUCGGAGUUGCUAGUAAUCGCGAAUCAGCAACGUCGCGGUGAAUACGUUCCCGGGCCUUGUACACACCGCCCGUCACACCACGAAAGUCGGCAAUACCCGAAGCCGGUGGCCUAACCCGUAAGGGAGGGAGCCGUCUAAGGUAGGGUCGAUGAUUGGGGUGAAGUCGUAACAAGGUAGCCGUAGCGGAAGCUGCGGCUGGAUCACCUCCUUUCUAGGGAUCCCGGAGCACUUACUCCGGUGGCUGCUCGGCUCGUUUUGAUGGCCGGAAUUGCGGCUCGAGUCUCGAACCUGAGACGAGAGACCCGUAGGUCGUCCGACUACCGAGCUCGCCUAGAUCAACGUCGACCUCGACAAUGUUCGAUUUUUUCGGACAGCGCCCGCUGCUGAGUUUUGAGAGACCGGCCUAGCCGGCAUCUCUUGUUGGGCGGACUAGGUCCGCGCGCACCUUGAAAACUCCAUAGCAGCAAUUAUGAGUUCUUCACGAUCAAGAGACUAAGAGCACACGGUGGAUGCCUUGGCGCCAAGAGCCGAAGAAGGACGUGGGCGGCUGCGAUAAGCUCGGGUGAGGUGCUGACCAACCUUUGACCCCGAGAUUU